AGCGGGGUAGAGUAAUGGCAGCUCGUCUGGCUCAUAACCAGGAGGUUGCAGGUUCGAAUCCUGCCCCCGCAACCA
rnacentral:tRNA from 3 species